rnacentral:rRNA from 1 species
GACGAACGCUGGCGGCGUGCUUAACACAUGCAAGUCCCACGGGCCCGCUCUCUUUUUUGGGGGUGGGUUGAGUGGCGAACGGGUGAGUAUCCCGUGAGUAACCUGCCCCCUGCUCCUGGAUAACUGCUUGAAAGGGCGGCUAAUACGGGGUGUGCCGGCUGGUCCGCAUGGGCCUGGUCGGGAUAGUUUCAUCUUCGGGUGUUUCGGUGGGGGAUGGGCUCGCGGCCUAUCAGCUUGUUGGUGGGGUGUUGGCCCACCAAGGCGGUGACGGGUAGCCGGCCUGAGAGGGUGGGCGGCCACACUGGGACUGAGACACGGCCCAGACUCGUGCGGGAGGCAGCAGUGGGGGGUAUUGCACGAUGGGCGGAAGCCUGAUGCAGCGACGUCGCGUGAGGGAUGGAGGCCUUCGGGUUGUGAACCUCUUUCUCCGGUGGUGAAGGCCCUGUCCGUUGCGGCGGGGUUGACGGUAGCCGGGUAUGAAGCGCCGGCUAACUACGU